AUCUCUUCUUGAAGAAUCAUCUCUUUAUUAGUUACUUUUCUCAUUACUGUGGCAAAAAACACUUAUGAAAGGAAGGGUUUGUUUUGGUUCAGUUUGAGGACACAGUCUGUCACAGAGGGAGAGUUAUGGCAGUGGACUGUGAAGCAGUUGGUCACAUCACAUUCACCAUCAGGGAGCAGAGAGAGAUGAAGGUUAUUGUUUAUCUUAAUUUCUCAUUCUUUAAGAAAUUUCAGGACCCCUAUAGAAUGGUGCCAUCCACAUUCAUAGCCACUCUUCCAUUAUAGACACUCCAAGAAAGGUGUUUCCUUGGUGGUUCUAAAUCCAGUGAAGAUGACAAGGAAGACGACCUAUUUUAGGAAAUGAGGUCUUUGCUCAAUAAAUAUUAAUGAAAUAUCUACUCACAAUAUGCCCAAUUCUUGAAGUUGGUAAACAAAACAACACAAAAUCCACAGCCUCCAUAGAGACUUAGUAAAGUUGGGCAGACAGAACACAUACAUACAUGUGUAUGAUGUUACAUGGUGAUACAUGCAAUGACAGAGUAAGUCCAGUGAGAGAGCAGAGAGUGAAAGGGUAGAGUUUGGGUCAAGGAAGACCCGAAAGCAACCUCUAAGCAGAGAUCAGAACAAAAUUAGGGAGUAAGUCACCUGGACGUUUAAGCUCUUCUUGUAGAAAUGGAUUUGAUGUAUUUAGGAAAAUCAAGGAGACGACUGGAGUUGAAGGUGAACAAGUAAGAAAAAAAAUCUUGGAAGUAAUAAAGUCAAGAUCACACAGGGCCUUGUGGGCCCCUGUAAGAACUUUGCCAUUCACUGGGAAGCCACUGAAUAUUUUCAAACAGAGGAAUGACACAACUAAACUCCAGUUUCCAUGUCAUUACUGUUGUUGCUGCAUGAAGAAUAGACUGGAAGGCUUAAGGGUGGAGGCAAGAGGUUGAUGAGGAGACAAUUUCCUUUAGUCAGUCAGUCAGUCAGUCGUCAGUCCAUCAGUCAGUCAGUCAUCAGACUGAAGAACAUGAUUCCUUGGACUAGGGUAGGAGCUUGGAAAUAAAGAGGAGUUGUCAAAUUUGUAAAUAGUCAUGACCGAUAUAUGACUAAGCACACACAGUCACUUAGUCUCAGCUCUUUGAACAUUUAUUAAUCUCUGUAUUAAUCACUACCCAAAUAUCAAAGAAACUUCAUUGGCCAAGAUAGAAAGUAGCAAAAAUAUAUGCAUAUAAGCAUAAAUAUUUAGAAAGCCUUCUGACAACAUGACCAUUUAUCAAACAACGGUAUGGGAUGGGUCCCAACUUCCAGACAUGGGCUUUUGACAGGUUUAUAGUCCCAGGCAUGAACUCCCUUCUGUGGACCAGGCUUAAAAUCCAAUCAGAAAACGUUGGUUGCUUCCAUAACCAUCUUGCCAGAGUUGCAUCAGCAGGCAUACCCUACCUGAUAGGUGAGUAUUUUAGCAUUCAGGAGGCAAUCCUAUGUGAGAAUCUUUUCUCCCAAAGAAGUAUGCAUAGCAUAUUUCUUCCCCAACUCAAGAUUCUGUGAACAUCUUUUAUAUAUUUUAUUGUACUAUCACAUGUAUUUAUUUUUAACAUGUGUAAAUUACUGGGUAUUUACACAAUGACAUGUGUGUGGAGAUUCUGGGAGCAUACCUGUGUAAGGCAAAUGUGAUAACCACUACACUACUGAAGCUACAUAUCUGGGCACAUUUUACAAGGGAGUAGAGAAAAUGGAAGAAUCAGAGGAUAGAGGAGAUGACUGUGAAAUCUUCUGAACACAAAUGGGUUAUGGUGCACAUGAACUCAUAGCAGUUGUGGUUACUUAGAAUAAGACCUGCAGAGGAGAAAGCCAGCCAACAACCCAGCAGGGCUGAGGUCCAGGAGGAAACCCUGAGGCUCUGCUCCAAGAGAAGAGGGAUGGCAGGUGAUGGCUUCUACAGGGAAUCACUUUUCUUUGAGGCUGUGGCUGCUCAGCCUAUGUUACAGUGAAGUGCUCAACAAAACUGUGCAUAUGGGGCAUAUGGGUGGUGUUAAUUGGACUUAGUGGAUUUCUUUUUUAAGGAUAUGAAGUUGGAAGGAUGGUAUAUUUGAGGUUCCUUGGGAGACCUUGAAGGAGGUCGUAGGGGAUGACAAAAAUACAUUGUAUGCAUGUACAGCAUCUUUAAAAAAUAAAUAAAAAUAAUAUUUAAAUAAUUUUGAAAUCUUUGAAAUUAGAGCCAACAGGACUUCCUAUGACACUAUAGGACAAACUGAUGAAUAGAGGGCCUGAGUUAGCUGAGAUAUGGAAGAUGGGGUAAAGAAAGAUCACAAAUUGUGAUUUGGACAAGUGAAGUCUAGGGUGGGCAGCAAGAAAGCCAGGCUGGCACUCUGGGUUCAGACCUGGAGAGGAAGCUGUUGGUGUGUAGGUGCCUUUAAACAGGAAAGAGUAGACGGUGCUGCCCAGAGAACACCACCAUUCCAAAGGUGGAGACUGAACGAUCUUCAGCACUUAGAGGUCAGGGGAACUGGGCUGCUGCUGAGGAGACAGUGGUCAGCAAGUGAAGACCAUGCCCCUCUAGGAGCACAAUGGACUGUCAUGUCACUCACAGAUGGCGGGGAAAUGAGAUGGCUCAGUGUAUAAGUGUAAGAGAUGUGUUCACUUUUCAUUAUCUGCUGCAGACCACCAGUUCCUUCAGUACAUGAAAGAUCAAGGGUUCAUAUCAUGGGCCCAUCUAGCAUGGUCUUGACAGCUCUUUUCUAGAAGACGUUUGACUAUAUAAAUCAUCAAUAAAGCCUGAUUCAUGGACCAUAAGGUGAACUUGUAAUAAAUAGAUGCUGAAGUGACAUCAUUUCCAUGGUGAGCACAAUCCAGUUCCUAAGAUUUUACAAUAAUAAAUCAGUAAGAAUGUAGCAUCAGGAAGUAUUUACGAUCUUUACAUUUCUGGAGACUAAUUCCAAGUUAUUGAGUUUCCAUGAAUGUUCCAGUAAUGACUAGCACUCUUCCAAGUAUGGCUCAGCCUAUGGUGGAAGAAUGGAUUCUGCUACAGAGAAAAUAACAUUUCCAUACCAGACGCAUAUCAUGACUGAGAAUCUAAUCAAGCUUGUGGUCACAGGUUACAAACUCCAGGUGAGCUCUAACUGACCAGAGUAGUAAUGGACAGCCUCGGUACAACAAGAGACAUCAUCAAAAUGGGGAUGCUUGGCUCAGGGUGAGUCUGGCGUUUUCCCGGAAAAUGCAUGUUUUGUUUCCCUUUAGAUCCUUUCAUGUGAGUAGACAUCACAUUCCCCUUGACAUUGUAGGAGGAUUAUAAAAAAGACAGUGAGUGUACAUCAAAACUCCUACUUUGCUAUUUCCAGGCUUUGAGUGGGUUGCUUCUGCUGGUUUUAGUGCCCUUGUACAUAAAACGAGAGUGGUAGCCCCUAGCUUCGAAGGGUUAUUGAGGUUAGUGUGGAAUUCAAUUUAGACAUGAAUGUGAAUGACAUGCCAGAAAGCAACCUGUGAUAGCAAUUAGAACAAUGAACAGAGCUAGUGGUGACAGAAAAGUUGUUGUUGGUGAUAAUAAUGGGCUUAUGUGCCAAGGGAUGGGACAAGAGGGACUCCCCUUGUUAGCAGUGGUAUCUGCAGUUGGAAGCAGGUUGCUGGCAAUACAAGCCAUUCAUCCAUAUCAGAUUGCAAGCAUUCAUUUAAUAAUUUGUAGAAAAAGUCUUGAAAGUUCCAUGAUAUUCUUGCCAGGCGCUGGUGGUGCACCCACUCGGGAGGCAGAGGCGGGUGGAUCUCUGUGACUUGGAGGCAAACCUGAUCUACAAGCUACAAAGGGAGUUCCAGAAAGCUCAGAAAAACCAAACAAACAAACAAACAAACAAAAAAAACGCCACCAACAACAAAACAGGUAACCAACCAACCAGCCAAACAAGUGUGUUCUAGAAGCAAUCUGGGUGGCAGCAGAUGCCGUACAGCUCUUCUGAAGUGUCCAUCUUCAGUGCUUUAAGCUCCCGUACAAUCACCAGCCCAUCCUGCUUCAGGUAAGAAUAAACUGAAGCAACACAGUGUCCCAUGGACGUGAAUCAGUGCCGGGAACUUUUUUUUUCCUACUGUCAGACUCUAUAAGAGGACUCCCCACUCACACACCAAACCUACUAUUUUUUUUCCUCAGGUGGGAGGGCACUGUUUCCUCAUUAAGUAAGAGCUACGGCCUCUCCUCCACCCUGCACUUCAUUCAGAGCAGACUGAGAACCUGUGCAAUUCCUUUGGAAUAAAUGUGCAGCCUUGAAACAAAGAUACCACUGGACUCGGUGUCCCGCUUUGGCUAACUACUUAGGAGAUGGAUGGGGGAAUCCUAGGAGCUCAGGCUCCUGAGGCUGGCGAUGAGAAGGCAGCCAGGGGACAAGGACAAAGAUGUGAACUUGGAAGUUGGGCUCCUUUUGAAGUGCCUGCUUCUGGAACUAGGUCAGGAAGCUAUUUAAUAAGAAAUAAGCCCUGUUCUUGCAGGGAGUGCCACCAGGUGUUUCUUCCUCCGGGUCUCAGAUGUGCUUAUUCCCUGGCUGUCACUGUGAGCAGCCUACAAAAGCUGGUUUUGUCAAGUAUGGACAGUGAUGAGAUAGCACAAACCAGUUUGGCACUGACGUGAACCCUUCACCUAAAAUUCAACUCAACCCCAGGGAUUUCUGAGCUGUCGAAGAACGUGUGAUGCUUUCUUUGCUUAAUCAGGCCCCAGUAAGCUCCCUUGGGGCUAACUAAGAAAGAAAGGGCCAGUCAUGUCUGUCUCUCUGUGGGAACAUAUGCAUCUCCCAGAGCAAUAGCCCAUCCUCCGAAUAAAUGCACAGCCAAGGAGAAAUCAUUUCUCUGUUUUGUAAGACACGGAUCCCACCAAUUUAGACAUUCUGCAAUCUCCACAGGGCAAACAGACGACAUGGUGGGUUUGCAUGAGUGUGUUAAACUAUGUCAAACCGUUUCUUUGCCAUCUGCCAUCUGUUUCCAGUGUGCGGUGGGUACAGCUAGAUGCUGGAGUGGGCCUGGCCCAGUGACUGUGAAGGAGCAGUCUCAUUUCUCCCCCCCCCCCCCCCCCCAGCAGUUAGAGCCGGCAGGUUUGUCCUUUGCCGAACACCAAUAAUUAGAGACUUAGCAAGUUCUGUAUGUUUUGCUAACUCUUAAGUCAACAGUCUGCUACUCAUUCGCUGGCACGUAUUCUCUGAAGUGCUAAUUGCUACUCUCCCCACAGGUAAGUGUUUUUUAGAAAUAAGUGAUUCAAUAUUGAACAACUUUAGUCAGCCAAAGAAUACUUCAAGCCUUUAACCCAACUUGAUUCUAAAGGAAACUGAAAAUUAGCCUUCUCGGAAUAACAAAAAAAGAUACUGUAUGAAAUUAAGAUAAUUAUCAUCCUCACUCUAAAAUGGAUUAUUUUGGGGAGGGGGGGAUAGCAUUUUCUUACAAGUGGAGGCAUUAUUGGGUAAUGACCAAGAUGCCGGGCUCAGAAUCAAACAGACCUGGACACCCAUCCUGUUCAUUGCUGCUGUUUAGCUUGUUACUUUGUAUUUUCUUCCUGUUUUGAAAUGCUUUUAGUCUGAGCAUAAAACAACCCGUUUCAUUAUAAAGAUUUCACACAUUUAUAUCACUGUACUUAGCUCAUCUUUAUCCACGACCUACCUCUUGCUGGUCGGCUUCCUCCCUCUGGACAUCUAGAAUGGUCUCCUAUCUGAGCCACUGUGAACAUUGUAUUGGUAAACGUGGAUGUGAAGAUACCUGUGGGAUUCUGACUUAAGAACCCUGUUGUUAUCUAUCCCCCUGGGAGUACUACAGAUGGGUCAUGUGGCGCUUGCAUUUAGUUCUUAUUUGGGGAACCUCCAUGCUGGCUUUUACAAUUGGUUCUUUACUGGUCUUCUCUGCAGGAGCCCUCGGAGUGCGGAACAGAAUCUGGAGCUAGAGUACUGUCUGAGCUUCUAUACUCUGUAGUGAGUAAGGCAGGGUUAGGUCUCUCUUCUCUUUCUCGGAUUGCACCUGGCACGAUCCCUCUCCUGUGUCUCCAGUGAAGUCUCCUGACCAUGGGCAUGAGAAUCCCUGAUGCCACAUCCACUUCUCAGAGGCAGGGGAGACGCUUUGAGGAGCCUGUCUUGGAUGGCACACCAGCUUGCAAUGUCAAGAAAACUGAAGACACACUGAACAGCCAACCACAGCUCAGAGAAAUUAGCAUGUGGGGAGCCAGGUUUCUCACUUAUUAAUUGACUAAAUUGGAUCUUAGGGCCACAGAACUUAAUCACAUUGUCCCCACUGAUCCAUCAAAGACUAUCUGCCAGAGCCCUGGACUGCACAAAAAGAAGAACACAAGCCCUCAGCCCUCGCUGCUUCCUGCUGCGGAUACAAUGUGGCCAGUGACUUCAUGCUCCUGGCACCAUCCCUGUCCUGCCAUGGUGGACUGUACCCUCACAUUUUGGAAUAAAGUAAAUCUUUUCCUUUGA